rnacentral:rRNA from 1 species
AGGGUUCGAUUAUGGCUCAGAUUGAACGCUGGCGGUAGGUUUUAAACAUGCAAGUCGAGCGGUAACAGACAUUUUGAUUCAGCUUGCUGAAUCUCGUGCUGACGAGCGGCGAACGGGUGAGUAACGCGUAGGAAUCUACCCAGUAGCGGGGGAUAGCCCGAGGAAACUCGGAUUAAUACCGCAUAUGCCCUUAGGGGGAAAGGGGGCAUCUUUGAUGCUCUCACUAUUGGAUGAGCCUGCGUAAGAUUAGCUUGUUGGUAGGGUAAAGGCCUACCAAGGCUACGAUCUUUAGCUGGUCUGAGAGGACGAUCAGCCACAUUGGGACUGAGACACGGCCCAGACGUCUACGGACGGCAGCAGUUAAGAAUAUUGGACAAUGGGGGAAACCCUGAUCCAGCCAUACCGCGUGUGUGAAGAAGGCCUUAGGGUUGUAAAGCACUUUAAGCAACGAAGAAGAAAAAUAAGUUAAUACCUUAUUUUUUUGACAUUAAUUGCAGAAUAAGUACCGGCUAACUCCGUGCCAGCAGCCGCGGUAAUAC